UUUUUUGAUGCCCGGGUGGUGGAAUUUGGUAGACACAAGGGACUUAAAAUCCCUCAGCGUAUUUGCUGUAUGAGUUCAAGUCUCA
rnacentral:tRNA from 1 species